rnacentral:rRNA from 1 species
AACGAACGCUGGCGGCAGGCUUAACACAUGCAAGUCGAACGCCCCGCAAGGGGAGUGGCAGACGGGUGAGUAACGCGUGGGAACAUACCCUUUCCUGCGGAAUAGCUCUGGGAAACUGGAAUUAAUACCGCAUACGCCCUACGGGGGAAAGAUUUGUCGGGGAAGGAUUGGCCCGCGUUGGAUUAGCUAGUUGGUGGGGUAAAGGCCUACCAAGGCGACGAUCCAUAGCUGGUCUGAGAGGAUGAUCAGCCACAUUGGGACUGAGACACGGCCCAAACUCCUACGGGAGGCAGCAGUGGGGAAUAUUGGACAAUGGGCGCAAGCCUGAUCCAGCCAUGCCGCGUGAGUGAUGAAGGCCUUAGGGUUGUAAAGCUCUUUCACCGAUGAAGAUAAUGACGGUAGUCGGAGAAGAAGCCCCGGCUAACUUCGUGCCAGUAGCCGCAGUAUAAC